GCCUUAGAUGUUCUGGGCUGCACACGUGCUACACUGGCAGGUUCAGCGAGCUUCAUGCCCUGAUCUGAAAGGAAUGGGAAAUCUUUUCAAAACCUGCCGUGCUUGGGAUAGAUGUUUGCAAUUAUUCAUCUUCAACGAGGAUUGCCUUGUAAGCGCACGUCAUCAGCGUGCAUUGAAUACGACCCUGUAUUCUGUACACACCGCCCGUCGCUCCUACCGAUUGAAGUUUUCGGUGAGUUGACAGGAGGAUUUUUUUGAAACUGGUUCGCCAGUGGAUUUUAGAUCCAAAUGCCAACGAAUCGAUGGCUUUAGAGGAAGGAGAAGUCGUAACA
rnacentral:rRNA from 1 species